UUAAAUUCUGUACGAAGUCAAAUUAAAACUUAUUGUCAAAACCAAUCUGCUAUGAUGGUUAUUCCUGAGACAAUACUACAAAUCUGAAAGCAAUCGACUUAAUUGAAUAUGGAGUAUAAUACGAUCCUAGAUAUUUUACCCUUAAAGAUUACAAUCCAAUCCAGUUUAUCCAUUCGUUUGAUGUGUUUGAACUUUUGAUUUUGCCAUUUGAUUUGGGACUUUCCUUUUUGAAUUUUCCUCGGAGUUUAGUAUUUUUGUGUUUUUACUUUUUUCCGUACCUAACUGACCAAUGAUUAAUCUCGUUUUGGAAGCAUCCAUGAUGAUCACGUACAGUAUGUCAGUUUUGUACCUAACUGACCAAUGAUUCAGUAAUAUCGUUUAGGAAACAUACACGAUAAUCACGUACUAUGAUCAAGAUUAAUACUAAAAGUCAGAGCUUGUUUAUAGUGUUACACUAAUUUGUGAUACAAAAUGAAGCUAUGAUUAAAAUCGGAGGUAAAUAAACAUUUGAAGUAGUACGGAUCUGUGCAAGGAUAUACUAGUUUAUAUUACAUGCAGCGAGGAAUGAUAUGUAAGGACCGGCAUGUAGAAUUAGAUGGUAAGCAAUAUGGAAGUCAGAUGGAAACACACUCAUUCACUUAUACAAAACGUAACGCCAUGAAAAUUGUUACAUGGAAAACUUUAAAAAGCAACGACGAGACGCUAAUAUUACAAUAAGUGUAUGGUAGACUUGUAAUUGACAGGAACAACGUGAUCGAGUUAAAAAUGCCAUCUUGCUACGCCAGGCCAACAACGAAGACCACAGACCAGAGUAAUACCAUCAUUUCACCAGGGAAUAUGAACCCAAACGAAAACAUAGAUGUAAUGGACAGCAACAUUAACUACAGUAACGUCAUCAGUAACAGCACCAACUUUAGUAUUUCCCAAUUACGGAAUGGUAACACAGAUAGUUUAUCUCGUAUAAACGGCAGCUACACAAAUGGUACAUUUUCUGGAGACAAGUACGAAGACAGUUUUUUGUUCAGGGAAUUCGGAAUGAUAAGAUUAGCAGUGCUUGGGAUUGUGAUUAUGGUACUUAUAUUAUCGACUUGUAAAAUCGUAUUCAAGAUGUUUUCUCGAUCUUUACAUAACAAACGAGACGAUGAAUGAUUGUUUAAAAAUAUCAAUUUCGUUUAAAUCCAACCCCUGGACAUGUGAAAAAUGAAUGCAUAGGACAAAGGAUAUUUAAUCAGACUAUUUUAAUCCAACCAGCAUCGUUGUUUACCUGAAUACAGCUGCACUGAACAAGAAUAAUGUUUUAUUUAGAUAUCGUCUUGAUGUAAGGAGUUAAAAAUAAAUAUGCCUUUGUAACACA